UUCUUCAAAUUCAAUAUGUGAUGAUGGUCGGGCUUACAAUUCUGUUUUAUUUUUAGUCAUGAAUGCAUAGAGGGAAAAAAUUAAACAAGAAUGGUAAUCCACUUCAGACACCACUUAAAUAUAGAGUACAGCUGUGCAGUGUCUUUUCAGGUAAAGAUACUGCAUUGUUUGGCUAUUGCAUAUUGCAGAAAUAAUUUGGCUAUAAGUGUCUUAUUUUUGGACUGUUUUGUGUUACUGUAGUGUAUUGGUGUUUACUCUUCAAAGCCCUGGGUUCAGUGUAAUAUGUUUGUUCAGCUUUACAAAAAUGUUGUGGCAUGGAGAAGGAGUAGGAGUCAGAGUUUGGUUCCCAUCCAGACAUAAUUUACUGAUAUAAAGCCUUUGUGUAUUAAGAUCAUGAACCAGAAAAGUUUAAAGGUUAUGGGCAAGUUGCCAGAGAAUUCUAACUUAUCAUUGGUAAAAUUCAGCUUUGAAUAGAAACUGGAAAAAAACUAUUGUGUACUCUCUUGGGGUUAUUUACACUACAGAGGGACACACUAUGAUCUCAGUUACACUACUCGAUAUCCAUUAUCGAUGCUAUUUUGAAUUUAUGAUCUACCUUCACAAUAUAAACUUUAUUAAUAAGAAAUUUUGUCUUUUUCUUGAUUUGUUCUGUAAUCCAAUAACAACUAACUCCAUGUUUAUUCCAUUAGUAUUUAACCUUGUUUGCAAUUAUAUGUCUGAUUUUUAAUUUUUUUCCUCCCCUCCCCUCUCUCCCUUCCCCUCUCUCUCUCACCUUUUUUAUAUAUAUGCUAAAAUCUAACACAUAGGAAAGGAUUCUUUACAUCUCAUUUAACCAUUUACAAGUUAGGUAUCUUCUGCAGCAGUAUUCUAGUCUUUCAUUUAAGUCAAUGGAGAGAGAGAUACACCUACAAAUACUAUUUCUUUUUAUCCUAAAAUAUGUGUUUAAAAUAGGUGUAUUGAAUUACCCUCUGCAGGUACUUACAAUCCAGUUACCUCUCAUCACUGAGUAAAUGGGGCCUAGACAAGUAGCUUAGAUUAAAUGUUUCACAUUUGGAUGCUUGAUUAAAUUUGAGGUUAGAUGGUUCCUAACCUAAGUAUACCGUAUUUUUCCCUUUUAAUUUUUGUGCUGUUUCAUUUAAAGAUGGAUCAAUAUUUAAAAGCUGUGAAGUGUUUCCCUUAAAAGAACUGUACAUUGAAGGUCAGUUUAAAUUGGACCUUUAGAUUUCCUGGUGCAGUACAUUGUCAAAACUGAUCAUAAGGAACAUGCAGUGUAAUAAACAUCUAUCCAGGUCCUGUGAGAGUGUUUUUUCAUGAAGUCAUAUUACACCAGGUAAAUGACAUUCUGUUUUGUCAUUGUCUUAGUUUUAGCAUGUCUUCAGUGGUGCCUAGUUAAAUGGACAAAAAGGCAUUAGUUAAAGCAAACUUCUAGAGGCAAGACUUCAGAUGCUCCCCUUCCAUUCACCUGAUAAAGCCAGUUCUUUCUACUUCCUUUUGCUUGCAUUCUCCAACAGAUCUUUCUUUCCAACGACUGUUAAGUUGCCAUUUAGUAGGAUUUGUUUGAUGCUCAAUUUUAAAGUUUUUCACAGAAAUAAUGGUUUUCAUCAGUAUUUCCUCACAGAACAAUUUGUUUCCUUUCAAAUCAGUCAUGUACUUUCACUCUUGUGUGUUUAAGUCAACAGGGCUUCUCUGCAAUUCCUGUUGAAGAGGAUCAGUGGGUUUGUUAUUACUGUGUUUGUCAUUUAGUUAGCCUCCAAGGAGCCAAGCAAUUUCCUGUAAAAGUGAAAACACAAAGAAUUAUGCCAUCUUAUUAAAGAUAUAGUAAGCUGUAGAAAGAAAUAUCAGGCAGAAAGGUUGAGAGGAUGGGACUACUGGAUUUACUAUGUGCUGUGACAGUGUUGAUAUGGAUAAUCAGUGGUAAAGGUUUUUUUUAAAAAAUGUUAUUCUAUUUCUUGUUGCACAACUCUUAAACUGAUAGGUUUUGUAUUUAAGAGAGCACGCCCAUUCUCAUACCCUUGUUUUAUAGGAAAGAAAAUGGUUUUGUAGAAAGUACUAUGCCAGUGCUUGUUUCUUUGCUUUAUCUCUAAUGGAAAAUAUUUUUGUCAGUCUCACACUUCAUAUUCCUUCUGUCUCUAUGGGGGGAAAAAAUUAUGCACAUACCAGUGAUGACUGCUUUCUAGGAGAGAAGUAAGGAGGUUAAGAAAGGAUAAGAAUAGUAACAAAUCCUAAAUUUCAACACUGAUAAGUGCUUGCUGCUCAGUAUGAGAAGAUUGGUUUCACUUCUGCUUUUACAGGGCAUUUGGCCCAGUUUUUAAUCAAGCGCCUGAUCUCUGCUCACUGUAUGGGACUUGGGCCAUGAGGAGAUUCUGGUAUGGCUAAUGGAUGAUGAAGGAAGGCUCCUGGCAUUUAUUGUUCAGGUCAGCAAAAGCUGCAGCAGUUGCAGUGAUCUGGAAAUUAAAUCUUCCUGCAAACAACCCAAACCUAGAAGCUUUCUGAGGUUGGAAAACAACUGUCAGAGAGAUUUCAGGUGUUCAUACUUGGUAUCACACCACAGGUGCAUUAAAAACUGCACUUGGCUGCCUCCUGGAACUACGCUCAGAUGAGAGAUGAAGAGGACUAAUGUCCACAGUGUGAGCAGAGUUCCUCAGAUUCAGUUUAAGGCACAGGAAAGGCACCCUGAUGCAUGUACAACAAAUAGUCUCUUUAACAGGUUUUGCCUGGGAAAAUAGUAGAAUUGCUUAUAGCAUUGCCUCCCUGAUUUUCCUGUUCCCUAAGGAUUUCAAACAAGUCUGUCUUCCCAUAUAAGCAUUUGUCUUGCUUCAUCACUUCCAGGGCCCAGCCUGUGCCAUGCAUAGUUGUUUUCUCUACUCACACAGAUCACUGAUCCUUUUUUUAAGAAAUACUUUUGCUAUACAGCUUCUGUGUUUCUUUUUAUUAGUGUCACUAGUGCAGAGACUUUACAAGUGUUUACCAGCCUUAUGUGCUCUUCUGAUCACCUGCCGGCCUGGCCAACAGCAUUAAUCACACAGAAGGUCUUGGGAUGGGCAUAGUCCUAAUGAAAUUGUGUAGGAGGGAGAGCCAAGAUAGUCCAGCUUGUGACUGUGCUCUCACUAUGUGAUAUGUUUACAGUCUGGUGCUAACCCCAUGCCAGCUUUCCUCUCCUCCUGCCUAGCAAAUCUCUCUUGCCUGUCCCCAGUGUCCUUGGGUUACUGUGGAUUCAGCAGGAAGGGUUACAAGCCGAUAGUAGGAAGCAAGACCCAGUGGAGCCACCUAUGGACAAGAGAAGCUAUAGAUUAAAUUUGUUUUCUGUUGUAAUAAUUCAACAUCUCUGUGACUGGAACAUGAUUUUUUAAUUUUGGUUAUAAUUUCUUUUGCCAGCUGGUCCCUGUAAAUGUUUGCACACCAGCUCUGAUCAGGUUUGUGCCUGCUGCCUUUCUGCUACUGAAGUUGCUAAGAGUCUCAAGAAUGGCCAAUAAAACCAAUAUCUGAUUCUUUUCAGUUAAUUUGAUUAUAAACUAUGUGGGCUUCUUUGGUUUUACAACAGUGACAGAUCUCAGCUAGGACAAGAACGUACUUCUGUAAGAACAACAAAUAUGAGUAGUCUGAAAAGAAGUAAAGCAGCCAAAUUAAUUUAAUUACUUGGCCUACACUAUUCUAUAUUCUACCCUGUUACUAGUACAGAAUUGUGGCUCUAAUCAUGUAAUCAUGUAAUCAGGCAGCAUUUUCACUGACUUGGUUUUUCCAGAGUUUUAUAGCUUAUCUGUAUAAUUAAGUUCUAGUAUGAAAGAUGCACACAGAAGAAGCAGCCCUUCUGGAAAAUGUUGGAAAAAAAACCCCAAACCUCUAAUGCUUACCUGUGAGGAUGCUUUAGGAAUGAAAAAGCAAACACUGUAUUCAAUAAAUACUGUAAAUACUGUUUUUAAUUCACCUGUCAAAACAGAGAUAAAAUAAACAUGGUAAAUGAUUGA